GGAGAAGCAGCUCUAGUGGAUAGAGCACGGGCCUGGUGGUCAGAGGACCUGGGUUCUAAUCCCAGUUCCUCCA
rnacentral:tRNA from 1 species